rnacentral:rRNA from 1 species
UACGGGAGGCAGCAGUGGGGAAUAUUGGGCAAUGGAGGAAACUCUGACCCAGCGACGCCGCGUGCGGGAUGAAGGCCUUCGGGUUGUAAACCGCUUUCAGUAGGGAAGAAGCGAAAGUGACGGUACCUACAAAAGAAGCACCGGCUAACUAUGUGCCAGCAGCCGCGGUAAUACAUAGGGUGCAAGCGUUGUCCGGAAUUAUUGGGCGUAAAGAGCUCGUAGGUCGUUUGUUACGUCGGAUGUGAAAACCUGAGGCUCAACCUCAGGCCUGCAUUCGAUACGGGCAAACUAGAGUUUGGUAGGGGAGACUGGAAUUCCUGGUGUAGCGGUGGAAUGCGCAGAUAUCAGGAGGAACACCAAUGGCGAAGGCAGGUCUCUGGGCCAAUACUGACACUGAGGAGCGAAAGUCUGGGGAGCGAACAGGAUUAGAUACCCUGGUAGUCCAGACCGUAAACGGUGGGCACUAGUUGUGGGAACCUUCCACGGUUUCUGCGACGCAGCUAACGCAUUAAGUGCCCCGCCUGGGGAGUACGAUCGCAAGAUUAAAACUCAAAGGAAUUGACGGGA